AGCCAUCUCUCCAGCCCCCAACACUCUAUGUUCUUAAAUGAGUCAGCUGCUAUUUGUGUGUGUGGGGAGUGUGUGUGUGUGUGUGUGUGUGUGUGUGUGUGUGUGUGUUGUAUAUUGAACUAAGGGCCUUUCAAACACUAAACAUUUGCACCACUACAACUCUAGUCCAGCAGGCAUUGGGAGUAAUGGAAACAGUGGCGCAUUAUAAGCACUGACUUACACAGAAUUUGAAAUCUUUCUGUUUCUAUCUCCCAAGUGCUAGAGUUACAAGUGGACACCAUGGUGCUCAGGCCUCUCACUGAACCUAGAGCUGACUGAUUCUGGCUAGUCUCCCUAGCCAUCUUGACCCUGAGCCCUGGGGUUACAGAUGGUUGCUACACCUGCCUGCUCAGGAUUAUAGGUGACUGCUACACCUCCCUGGCCGGGAUUACAGAGUCAUCUGAAGGUGAGAACUGGAGUUACAGGGCUACAAGCUAAGGAGCCCCAACUAACAGAUGCUACACCCGAAGAGAGGGCAAGGACCAGAUCUCUUCCCAGAACCUCCAGAGACAGUGAACCCUGGGACACUUUGAUUACGUAAACUUCUUGCCUCUAGAAGAUAAGAUAAUUUCUUGCUGUCGGCAACAAUGACAGAGGAUUCUUUUUCAUUUUUGUUGUUGCCGGUUCUUGAGGGGGCAAAUAUACAAGACAGGAUAUAGCCAAGGCCACCCUGGAAGUAUCUAUGUAGACCAGGCUGGCCUCAAACAGUGAUCCUUUUGCCUUAGCCUCCCAAGUACAGAGAUGACAGGUGUGAGCCACCACACCCUGUAGCCUCUGGCUACAAUGUCCAGCUAUUUCUAGUAUAAACUUCUGAUAACCUGUUACAACAGCCCCAGGAAACUCUAGACUACUUUACCUGUAGUCUAGCCAGGUAAACGUGAUUGUCAAAACUUAUUUCCUUGGAGUUGAGCAUGAUGAUGGUGCACGCCUUUAAUCCCAGCACUUGGGAGGCAGAGCCAGGCAGAUCUCUAUGCAUUUGAGGCCAGCCUGAUCUACAUAGUGGGUUCCAAAGCAGCCAUAGAUGCAUAGGAGAGAGAUUGUGUCUCAAACAAACUAAAACAACCCUUACUUCUUCACCUCGCCCUGGAAAGAAGGAGCAGAAGGAAAGGUUACCUGGCUGAAGAGCUGCAUCAUGGACCACAGAUGUGAUGCAGAGCUGCGUCUGAUGGCCCAUGUCUGUCCUGCACUCAUCGGGUGGCUAAGAGUUGGAGGCCAUUCUGGGCUACACAGUGAAUUUCAGGGUUUCUCUCUAGCUUUGGAGCCUCUCCUGGAACUAGCUCUUAUAGACCAGGUUGGCCUUGAAGGCAUGUACCACCACCGCCUGACAGCAGAGGAACCAUCAGAUAGCCUAGUAUACACUCUGUUAUGUAAUUAUUAGUGUUCACUCUUAUGAAGAUUUAUAAGAAGCAAAGAAGCAAGCUGAGCAAGGAAAAAUACAAAAUGUACAGAUCAAGGAGCAAUGGGAGCCCCAGGAAAAAGAGUGACGCUAAAUCCUGUGUUCAAGGAGUUAAAUGGAUUAAAGCAGAAGCUGAUAUUAAAUGGAAUACGGGAGUGGUACCCUCAGUGCGUGAUCCUACCCCGCUAAACUUCCAACUUGUGAAAAGUAAUUAAAGAAAUGCUUUGGUCCAGACAUGGUAGUACACACCUUUAAUCCUAGCACUCAGGAGACAGAGGCAAGCAGAUCUUGGAGUUCAAGCCCAGCCUGGUUUAAAGAACAAGGUCCAGGACAGCCAAGCUUAAGCAGUGAAGAUAACCACGGAGAACAGAAAACUGGUGAAGAUGUAACCAAACAAGGGAGGGGCCAUGUUCCAGCCCCAGCAAGCAUCAGAACUUGGCAGCUUUGGCCGCAUGGUUCUAGCUUUAGAGCUAAGGACAGAAGAACACAGGUUAUGGAAUCUCUCUCCAUGGCUAACGACAGCUGCUGAGGCCAGGCAUGUGUCUGUCAGCAGUGUCCCUGAAUGGAGGCCUAGAGAGGCCAUUGUGUGAAGCUGUAAAAGAAAAGUCUGGAUUUCUUGGGAAACUCCAAGUCUGUCAGCAGUGUCCCUGAAUGGAGGCCUAGAGAGGCCAUUGUGUGAAGCUGUAAAAGAAAAGUCUGGAUUUCUUGGGAAACUCCAAGAUGUUGGAGAUGCCAGGGCCAUUGACUAGCUGCUGAGGAGAGCUGCUGACAGGGAUGGAACCCACCUAGGAGAAAGAAGUGUGUUACAGUCAACAAUGCUGAAAGGCGCUGAAGAGCAUUUGGCAUCAGACGCGGAGAUGCAGAGCCUGGGGUUUGCCUGGCUGGUUUUCAGUCUUGUCUUUGGUCAAAUAUUUCCUCACUAUGUACCCUUCCCUUCCUUUUGGAACAGUGAUGGAUGUCCUGUGCCAUUAUAUGUUAGAAGUAUGUGAUCUGCUUUUUGAUUUUGAUUUUACAGGAAAUGAUUACCGUUAAGAUAUUUUAUGAGUCUCAGAAGAGACUUUGUUCUUUGAAACAAGUUUGAGACUGUGAUAGACUGUGGAGACUUUUGAAAAUUCUUAAAAAGUCUUGUUAGUUAGCCUGCCUAGGCUAUAUAGGGGGUUCGAAGCCAAACCCGGGUUACAUGUGACCCGGUCUCAACAACUCUCCAAAUACGUAAAAAGAAGUGGUUCUUUAGCGUUCAUCGUCUAGCAAGAUCACUGGGUUUUGAGCUGUCCUGGGACCCAACUACAGAACUUUCAUUACAAUAGCAUUUGGUGUCACUCUUGACUGCCUCUGCAUUAUCUAUAAAGCAAAACGGCUAAAGGCAAACUGUGAAUUACUUCCUUUUUGUGGAAGUGGGCCCUGAACCCAGGCCUUGCACAUCCUGCCUAUGCAGGAACCCUAUCAAUAAAUUGGUGUGUUUGGAA